rnacentral:rRNA from 1 species
GACGAACGCUGGCGGCGUGCUUAACACAUGCAAGUCGAACGGAAAGGCCCUGCUUUUGUGGGGUGCUCGAGUGGCGAACGGGUGAGUAACACGUGAGUAACCUGCCCUUGACUUUGGGAUAACUUCAGGAAACUGGGGCUAAUACCGGAUAGGAGCUCCUGCUGCAUGGUGGGGGUUGGAAAGUUUCGGCGGUUGGGGAUGGACUCGCGGCUUAUCAGCUUGUUGGUGGGGUAGUGGCUUACCAAGGCUUUGACGGGUAGCCGGCCUGGGAGGGUGACCGGCGACAAUGGGACUAAGAUACGGCCCAGACUGCUACGGGAGGCAACAGUGGGAAAUAUUGCCCAGUGGGCGGGAGCCUGAUGCAGCAACGCCGCGUGCGGGAUGACGGCCUUCGGGUUGUAAACCGCUUUCGCCUGUGACGAAGCGUGAGUGACGGUAAUGGGUAAAGAAGCACCGGCUAACUACGUG